UACGGAGGGUGCAAGCGUUGUCCGGAAUCACUGGGCGUAAAGGGCGCGUAGGCGGCCUGGUAAGUAGGGGGUGAAAUCCUGCGGCUUAACCGCAGGGCUGCCUUCUAAACUGUCAGGCUUGAGCACGGUAGAGGCAGAUGGAAUUCCCGGUGUAGCGGUGGAAUGCGUAGAGAUCGGGAAGAACAUCAGUGGCGAAGGCGGUCUGCUGGGC
rnacentral:rRNA from 1 species